UACAGAGGGUGCGAGCGUUAAUCGGAAUUACUGGCGUAAAGCGCACGUAGGUGGCGACGUAAGUCGGGUGUGAAAGCCCCGGGCUCAACCUGGGAAUUGCAUUCGAGACUGCAUUGCUGGAGUACGGAAGAGGAAGGCGGAAUUCCCGGUGUAGCGGUGAAAUGCGUAGAUAUCGGGAGGAACAUCAGUGGCGAAGGCGGCCUUCUGGUCCAGUACUGACACUCAAGUGCGAAAGCGUGGGGAGUAAACAGGAUAGAUACC
rnacentral:rRNA from 1 species